GACGAACGCUGGCGGCGUGCUUAACACAUGCAAGUCGAGCGAGGCCCCUCCUUCGGGAGGGUGUCCUAGCGGCGAACGGGUGAGUAACACGUGGGCAACCUGCCCUCAGCUCUGGGAUAACUCCGGGAAACCGGGGCUAAUACCGGAUACGACCUCCACGGGCAUCUGCGGAGGUGGAAAGUUUUUCGGCUGAGGAUGGGCCCGCGGCCUAUCAGCUAGUUGGUGGGGUAGUGGCCCACCAAGGCGACGACGGGUAGCCGGCCUGAGAGGGCGACCGGCCACACUGGGACUGAGACACGGCCCAGACUCCUACGGGAGGCAGCAGUGGGGAAUAUUGCGCAAUGGGCGAAGGCCUGACGCAGCGACGCCGCGUGAGGGACGAAGGCCUUCGGGUUGUAAACCUCUUUCAGCAGGGACGAAGCGAAAGUGACGGUACCUGCAGAAGAAGCACCGGCCAACUACGUG
rnacentral:rRNA from 1 species